UGUUGGGUAGGGGAGCGUUGUGUAAGCUGAAGAAGGUGGUUCGAGAGGGCUGCUGGAGGUAUCACAAGUGCGAAUGCUGACAUAAGUAACGAUAAAGCGGGUGAAAGGCCCGCUCGCCGGAAGACCAAGGUUUCCUGUCCAACGUUAAUCGGGGCAGGGUGAGUCGGCCCCUAAGGCGAGGCUGAGAAGCGUAGUCGAUGGGAAAUGGGUUAAUAUUCCCAUACUUGGAUAAACUGCGAUGUGGGGACGGAGCAGGUUAGGUUAGCGUACGGAUGGAAGAGUACGUUUAAGUUGGUAGGUGGGGUGUUUAGGCAAAUCCGGGCACCUGAUAACACUGAGAGAUGAUGACGAGGCUCUACGGAGCUGAAGUAACUGAUACCCAACUUCCAGGAAAAGCCACUAAGCGAGAGGUUUAUCUAAACCGUACUGGAAACCGACACAGGUGGUCAGGUAGAGAAUACUAAGGCGCUUGAGAGAACUCGGGUGAAGGAACUAGGCAAAAUAGCACCGUAACUUCGGGAGAAGGUGCGCUGGCGUAGUGUGAAGUUCUUCGCGAAUGGAGCAUGAACCAGUCGAAGCGACGAGCUGGCUGCAACUGUUUAAUAAAAACACAGCACUCUGCAAACACGAAAGUGGACGUAUAGGGUGUGAUGCCUGCCCGGUGCUGGAAGGUUAAUUGAUGGUGUUAUCGAAAGAGAAGCACCUGAUCGAAGCCCCAGUAAACGGCGGCCGUAACUAUAACGGUCCUAAGGUAGCGAAAUUCCUUGUCGGGUAAGUUCCGACCUGCACGAAUGGCAUAAUGAUGGCCAGGCUGUCUCCACCCGAGACUCAGUGAAAUUGAAAUCGCCGUGAAGAUGCGGUGUACCCGCGGCUAGACGGAAAGACCCCGUGAACCUUUACUAUAGCUUGACACUGAACCUUGAAUUUUAAUGUGUAGGAUAGGUGGGAGACUAAGAAGCGGUAACGCCAGUUAUCGUGGAGUCGUUGUUGAAAUACCACCCUUUAACGUUUGAUGUUCUAACGAGGCGCCUGGGACAGGUGUUCGGACAGUGUCUGGUGGGUAGUUUGACUGGGGCGGUCUCCUCCCAAAGCGUAACGGAGGAGCACGAAGGUUGGCUAAUGACGGUCGGACAUCGUCAGGUUAGUGCAAUGGUAGAAGCCAGCUUAACUGCGAGACGGACAAGUCGAGCAGGUACGAAAGUAGGUCAUAGUGAUCCGGUGGUUCUGAAUGGAAGGGCCAUCGCUCAACGGAUAAAAGGUACUCCGGGGAUAACAGGCUGAUACCGCCCAAGAGUUCAUAUCGACGGCGGUGUUUGGCACCUCGAUGUCGGCUCAUCACAUCCUGGGGCUGAAGUAGGUCCCAAGGGUAUGGCUGUUCGCCAUUUAAAGUGGUACGCGAGCUGGGUUUAGAACGUCGUGAGACAGUUCGGUCCCUAUCUGCCGUGGGCGUUGGAGGAUUGAGGGGGGUUGCUCCUAGUACGAGAGGACCGGAGUGAACGCACCGCUGGUGUUCCAGUUGUUUCGCCAGAAGCAUUGCUGGGUAGCUAAGUGCGGAAGAGAUAAGUGCUGAAAGCAUCUAAGCACGAAACUUGCCCCGAGAUGAGUUCUCCCUGACAAAGAGUCAGUAAGGGUUGUUGAAGACGACGACGUAGAUAGGUGGGGUGUGUAAGCGGUGUGAGCCGUUGAGCUAACCCAUACUAAUUGCCCGAGAGGCUUAACUAUACAACGCUGAAGGGUUUU
rnacentral:rRNA from 1 species